AUACAGAGGGUGCAAGCGUUAAUCGGAUUUACUGGGCGUAAAGCGCGCGUAGGUGGCUAAUUAAGUCAAAUGUGAAAUCCCCGAGCUUAACUUGGGAAUUGCAUUCGAUACUGGUUAGCUAGAGUAUGGGAGAGGAUGGUAGAAUUCCAGGUGUAGCGGUGAAAUGCGUAGAGAUCUGGAGGAAUACCGAUGGCGAAGGCGUCCAUCUGGCCGAAUACUGACAUUGAGGGGUGAAAGAAUGGGGAGCAAACAGGAUUAGAUACCCUGGGAGUCCAUGCCGGAAACGAUGUCGACUAGCCGUUGGGGCCCUUGAGGCUUUAGUGGCGCAGCUAACGCGAUAAGUAGACCGCCUGGGGAGUACGGUCGCAAGACUAAAACUCAAAUGAAUUGGCGGGG
rnacentral:rRNA from 1 species